CUUCAAUCCACUUCAAGGAAAAAUUGAAUUCAAACCCUAGAAAAAAAAAAUCAAUGUUCUUCUAACUUCUUCAAACCAUUCCCAGCAAACAUUGAACUCAAACCCUAAGAUUCAAAAUCGAUCGUCUUGUGGCUUCAAACCCAAAGGAAUCUCGGUCCUCUGUAAUCAAACUCAGAGCAAACGGAACUCAAAGAGGUUGAUUCCCAGAUAAAUUGAAGUUAGAGCAAUCGGAACUCAGAUAAGUUGUUUCCCAGAUUAAUCGUUCAACUCGUCUUCUCCAAUCACACUCGGCAAUUCUAAUAUCCAAGAACCCAUAAACCACUUUGAACCCUAACCCAUAACCCAAAAAUCAUCUUCUCUCCAAGAACCUUAAUCCAAUAACCCACGAAUUUAACCGUCAAUAGUCGUACUCGUUCGCCGCCAUGCUUUCACAACUCAAACUGCCGUCAUUAAGGGGUCAUUGAGAAACUGUAAGCCACUAGACAACAUGACAUAUAUUGAUCCAACUGUGUAUGCGAGCUAUUACUGAGUAUGCAUAGCAGUGGAGUCACUCUCUGAUUCACUCAAACGGGUAUGUUAUUGACUGUGAAAUGUUUUGUUGAUAUAUUUAUUCCUUUUUUGCUGUCUCAAAUCAUGAGAGUUACAUGAGAGUUCAUAGUAGUCUAUGGUUUAUUUUCUAUUUAUCUGCAUAUAUGAUAUAUGAUAUGAUAUUAGUGAAUGCACAUUUUUUUUAUAAUCUGUUAGGAUUUGGCAUUUGAUCACUUUAACUAUUAUUAUAUUCAGUUUCAAUUUCUUACUUUUGGGUUUAAUUUGUUUACCUUAUUAUUAUUUUUAUAAAAAAAAUUUGUGUUACUGAUUUUUAAGGUUUGGGUCCAAAGGAAGAAGAACACAGUAGCUUUUUCCACAAAACCAAAGCAAGUUGCAGAGUCUAGUGGAUUUAAUAAUGUGGAAAGAUGUUUCAAGAUCAGCAUUUGUGUUUAGUAUUGGAACAUUCAUUAUAAUCUCAUUUUCUUAUGCAAGGGAUAUAUCAAUUUGAGGUUAGAAAUCUACACUAAAGAGUUUAUCUUUUACUGCUCCAGAACUGAAGUUUUUCUGCAGUUGGCAGUUUUGGCUAGAUGUGGCAGUUUCAUAACAAUUUGGAAGAUGGCUAAAUUCGGAUUUUGCAUUUCUGCACUGCUGGGAGAUAACAUCUACAACUACCUUGUUCAAAAAAACAUCUACAACUACAACUUUCGAGAGCUACUUGCCCAUCCUAUUGUGAGUAUCUGUUGAUUUUGUUGUUUGGAAUGCCUACUCUUUCAAGUUUCUCUACUCCACUCAUCUAUUUAGGUUACUAUAUACUUAUGUAGGUACUAGGUAUGAGUUGAAGUUAUUAAUCUAGCCUUAUUCUAGUUACACUGUACAUGUCCUAAAUUGAUUAAGUUAAUGCACUCCAUUCACCAUUUUAUCUAUGUCAUAAGUUUCUCAUUAAAUUUAUUUGUGUUGUUAUAAAUUUCAAGUGUUAGAUUUGGGCUUGUUUAUUGUAGAAUAAAAGUUCGAUACAUAUUUCCAUGUCCACUUUUAGUUGAUCCUUUCCUCUAAUCAGAAGAACGACCAAAUGUAUGCAGGGGUUUUAGAUAUCCCUUUGUACUUUGAGCCUUGUUUUAAUGUACUUCAGUGAUUCCAAUUUGUCUUAGAAAUGCUGAUUUCUCUUUUACUAUCCACAUGGUCUUUUACUUCAAGGUUAUUAUUAUAUUCGGAGAACUCUUUAGUCAAGUGUUUGUUUCAAGACAUUUGAAAGUCCUGUUAUGAUUAAGCCAUGCAUUCGAGGGUUGUAGAUUGAAAAUGGAAUAAAUCUCUAUUCAGCAACAAUUCUUAUAUGCCCAGUCUCUGUCGAAGGUGCUUCAUUUGAAUCAAUAAGUUAUAUAAAUGAUGCAGCACAAACCUUAAGGUAUCCAAGUGGAGUGUAGGUGAGAAUUAAUAUGAAUGUCAAAAUGGAAGAGCUCAACUACAGGUUAUAUGUCUCUUAAUUGAUAUUAAAGCUUUUGGUUAUUAGUUAGUUUAUGUUUUUCCCCCUUUCUUUUUAAUUUCAUUAUAGUUAAUUAAUUUUGUUAUAGGUUAGUUUGUGCGAGACCGCGACCGUCGUUGUUCCAUCUCGUCGAACCUCCAUCUCCAUCCUUAUCAAUUAAGGUCUUCCUGAGCUAUUUGCAUUAUGUGCUUUGUCACGCUUGGAAUUGGAGAGUGAUGCUUUCGUAGUGUUUCUUUUUCUGCUCUUUUGUUAUUAUAGGUUUCAGUUGCACUAUUAGACACGAGUUAUUGGAUCAAUAUGUCAUGAGCACAAGAUAUUGACUAUAUUGAGUAUAUUUUUAAUUUUUCAGGGACUACAUGAAAACAUCAGAGGUGUUGGCUUGGUUUGGGAAAUGGUAGAGGAAUGCUUAGGUUAAUUUUAAUUUGGUUGCUUUGGUGUUCUGAACUCAUCAGCUAGUUGCAAGAAAUGGUCUGUUGGGAGGUUAUUAUUCACGUUGUAGUAAACCAAUUUUGUUGUCUUGUGCUGGUUGUUAUCUUAUUAAGGUUGAGAAUCAUAUAUAGGAAGGACCUUUGUAUUAGCAUAUUAGCAUAAUUGAGUUUCUUUUGAUGGUGAUAGUUAUGUACUCAGCUUGAAUAUUGUAUCAGUCCAAAUGUAUAUUACUCAUGUUAUAUAUUGGAAAAGUACUUUUUAUUCUCUAUAAAGUACUUGAUAUUAU